CUACGGAGGGUGCAAGCGUUAUCCGGAAUCAUUGGGUUUAAAGGGUCCGUAGGCGGACUAAUAAGUCAGGGGUGAAAUCCCACAGCUUAACUGUGGAACUGCCUUUGAUACUGUUAGUCUUUAGUUAUAUGGAAGUAGAUAGAAUGUGUAGUGUAGCGGUGAAAUGCUUAGAGAUUACACAGAAUACCGAUUGCGAAGGCAGUCUACUACAUAUAUACUGACGCUAAUGGACGAAAGCGUGGGGAGCGAACAGGAUUAGAAACCCUAGUAGUCC
rnacentral:rRNA from 1 species